UAUAUUUAUUUGAAUUGAUUUUUAUUUAUUCAUUAUUUAUUUAUUAAAUUACUCUUUCCUAAUAUCUGUUCAUGAUUUAUAUACUCAGAAAAAAUAGCUUGUUAUCCUGACAACACCAUAACAUUUAUAUUAUUCAUAUUAUCUAAUUACAAAAUGAAUUAAAGUGAAUAAAAACAGCACCUAAUCAAAAUAUAUGCAGUAUCAAAAGGCUCUUGGGUUUGUAGGCAUUUGUUUAUUAAACACAUCAUUUAUUCUUCUACCCUGUACUCCCCUUUCAGUACUUCUUUACAUGUAAAAUGUUACUUUUCAAUAAGGAUCCUGUCGGAUGACUUUUGGCCUUUGAGAUACACUUUGAUCUCUAAUCUUAAAGGGACACAUUGAUCUUUGUCUGCAUGGAAAUGCUUCCUGUGCAGCUCAGUUAGAAAAAGAUUUACAUUGACAAGAUCAUUUGCAUUGGCAGACCAGGUUCCGAUACUUUAUCAAUCUUUAUAAUCUUGUUAGUUUCACAUUUCAUAAGAACUACUCUUCAUGACAGUAGAAUCAGCAGACACAACAAUGUUUUUCUACAUUGCCAUCUGCACAUUUACUAUCUGUAUUCAAGGCACAGAUGGACAAGUGACUGUAACUCAGACUCCUGAAGUCAAAUUCUCUCAAAGUGAUGAAACGGUCAAAAUAAACUGCAUAACUAACUCACCUGUUGCUGACUGUUCUCUCUGGAGAAACUGUGUGUUCUGGUACCAGAAAAAACCUGGACAAGUCCCCAAACUCCUCAUUUAUUACAUAAGCAAACUUCAUUCAAACGUUCCAGCUAGAUUCAGUGGCAGUGGUGCUCACACCGACUUCACUCUGACCAUCAGUGGAGUCCAGAAAGAAGAUGAAGGAGAAUAUUACUGUAUGACUCAACACAAGAUAGAAAACAAGUAUGUGUUCACACACUGAUAAAGAUUCGUACAAAAACCUCCCUGAGUCAAAUUCACAAUGACUGCACUGAUGCACACUGCAGGUGCUGAUGGGGAAGUAGCAAAACAGCACAUUGAAAGGUUCUCGUACAAUUAAGGAGAUAUUAACAAAAUUCAGAUUGUUUAGUUUAUUGUGUCUUUUCCAUAUAAUGUGAUUGAAAACUUAGCAGCAUGAAUUUGCUGCUAAAUAUCAUUCUGGUUGAUAUGUGUCCAUUUAUUAUGUACUGUGCAUUAUAUUGGUCUAGUAAUUAAAUGUAUUUGUAAUUAUAAAAAUUACAGAUCAUUGAAUGAUGGCACUGUAUGUGUGCCAUUAAAAAAUUAUAACAGGUUUAUAAUCUCAUUGGGGCAUUCACUAUAUAUAUAUAUCUAUAUAUAUAUAUAUAUAUAUAUAUAUAUAUAUAUAUAUAUAUAUAUAUAUAUAUAUAUAUAUACAGUACCGGUCAAAAGUUUUGAAACACUCAUUCUUUAUUAUAAAUUUUUUCACAUUUUAGAAUAAUAGUAAAGUCAUCAAAACUAUGGAAUAACAUAAAUGGAACUAUGGGAAUUAUGUUGUGACUAAACAAAAUCCAAAAUAAAUCAAAACUAUGUUAUAUUUUAGCAUCUUCAAAGUAGUCACCCUUUGCCUAGAAUUUGCAGACAUGUACUUUUGACAUUUUCUCAACCAACUUCUUGAGGUAUCACCCUGGGAUGCUUUUUAAACAGUAUUGAAGGAGUUCCCAUCUAUGUUGGGCACUUAUUGGAUGCUUUUCUUUAUUAUUUGGUCCAAGUCAUCAAUUUAAAAAACUUAUUACAUUUUAGUUUUAUGAUGAAAUAAAUUAAUAUGGUGGCACAAUUAUAUUUUUGUCUACAAAUCUAAUUUCAAACUUUUAAGCAUACGCCUUCAGAUCAAAAGAUUUUUAAGAUCAUGAGAAACAUUUCAGUCAAGUGUUUCAAAACUUUUGACCGGUAGUGUAUACACUAUAUAUAUAUAUACACUCUUUAGAAUAUAAUAAUACAAUAUAUUAUUAUAUUAUUAAUAUACUAUUUGUUUAGAUAUAUAUUAUUUGUUUAAAGAAAUGUGUAAUGUAAUGUAUAUAUAAUAAAUAUAACAGACUCCUGUGCACAAGUCAGUGUGAUUCAGACGCCAUCCAUGCAGAUUACUGAACCAGGAAAAAGAGUUGAAAUAACAUGUAAAACCAGUCCUAAUGUUGGCAAGUGGUGUAAUAGUAGAUACUGUCUAAGUUGGUACCUCAAGAAACCAGGGGAAGCUCCUAAACUCCUCAUCUAUGGAGCAACUCUCCGAUUUUCCUCUAUCCCAUCUCGAUUUAGUGGAAGUGGAUCCGGUAGUAGUUUCCAGCUUAUCAUCAGUGGAGUCCAACCUGAAGAUGCAGGAAAUUAUUACUGUUUCGGUGACCUCGGUGGUAGUAGAUACACACAGUGAUACAAAGCCGUACCAAAACUAUCUUCAUUGGAACUGUACAGUGAGUGAACUGCCCUGGGACCAACUGCAGGUGCUGAAAGAUAGGAUGUGAAACAGCCUGCAUCAAUAACGCACUAUAAACAUUUCCUGGCUUUCAAACAGACUAUCGGAAUGUGAUCAUUUCUUGCUCUGUAGACAUACAGUAUAGGCAUAUAAGAGGUUUAGGAUGCCUUCUUCAUUGGUCAGAACCCUCUCAGUCACCUCUGACAUUUUCAGUGCCCAUUUUAUAGUACUCACUGACCCCCUAAGCACACCACCCAGGGACCAUCUGCGAUGCAGAAACACAGUAGACAUUCAAAAAAAAAAAAAAAAAAAAAUACACUCAUAGAUAAUAUUAAACAAUUUUUUCUCUCAUUUUCAUUUCUUAGUUUUCUGUGAAGAAAGAAAGUCAUACAUACCUGGGAUAUCAUGAGGGUGAAUAAAUGAUGAGAGAAUUUUCAUUUUGGGGUGAACUAUCCCUUUAAACGGCUGCAUUUGUGUUUACGUAAUGUUUCAGAACGCCGCUUUCUGCAAAACCCCGCAAUAAAUCAUUUUCUUAAAUGCAUGUAAAUGUGGUCAAAGCCUUGACAGAGUGGAUGUCAAAUGAUGUCCUCACAGCAAACUAAUCAGGAACUAUGCUUAUAACCACAGGUGGAGAGCUGUAGUUCAAGCGGUCUCUCGUUUGAUGUAUUUGCGUUGCCAUGAUACAGAGGUAAUCUCAAUUUCUCCACUCAGUUGAGACAUCCAGGAUGAGUACACAAACACACCAUUGUGAGUAAAGAACAGAUAAUAACAUAUCUAAACCAAAACCAACCAAGCUACUGUACAGCGUUCCUCCUCCUCACUUGUAAACAGCGCUGCUCUUCCAGCUGUGAUGCACAUGCAUCAGUUCUCGCAUGUUUCAAAUACUAAUGCGAUUAAAUCACACGCGCGUACUGCUCCUGACCGAAAGCAUGAUUUAGAGUUUAAAAAAGUACUAAAUAUUUAUUUUUUUACACCAAAAGCAAUCGCGUAGCUUAAGAAGACAUUAAUUUAACAGCUGGUGUCGUAUGGAUGACGUUUAUGCUGACUAUCUGUGAUUUUUGGAGCUUCAAAAGAGAAAUCUCUAUUCACUUGUAUUUUAAGGACCUACUGAGCUAAAAUAUUUGUCUGUUUUUCUUCAAAUGUGUUCUGGUGAAGAAUGAAAGUCACACACACCUGGGAUAUCAUGAGGGUGAAUAAAUAAUGAGAGGAUUUUCUUUUGUGGGUGAACUAUCCCUUUAAGUAAUUUUUUACAUUUGAAAUGUACUGGUUCCACUAAGGAUCCUUUCAAAUUACCUUUGAUCUUUGAUAUAAUCUUUGAUCUCUGUCAUUGCACAAGUGAGAUAUCUACUUUUUAUACAUAAAAAAAUAGAAAAACUAUUUUCUUUGAUUAAUACUAUAUGCCUUCCCCAAUAUCUAAUGAAGUGAAAUGCCAGCUUUGAUUAGCUCUAAGCCUGUUAAUUAAUACUGUAUAAGUGUGUGUUUUUAUCACUUGAACUUUGGCCUACAUCUUCUAUGGCAAGUGCUACAGGAAGUGUGGGGUGAAAUGUCACCUGAGUAUCUGGACAAACUGACAGCUAGAAUGCCAAAGAUCUGCAAAGCUGUCAUUGCUGCACAUGGAGGAUGUUUUGAUGAGAACUCUUUGAAGUAGUUUAAGAAUAUCUGAAUUUUUUUUUCAAAUUGUAAUAGUAAUUUUUCACAUUAUUAAUGUCCUGACUAUACAUUGUGAUCAGCUGAAUGCCACUUUGGUGAAUAAAAGUACAAAUUUUUUACAAUAACAAAUUUUUCCAUAAGAGCAAAAUCUGUACAUUAUUCCAAACUUUUGGCCACCAGUGUGUAACUACACAGCAACAAUUUUGGUGAUUAGCAAAUUUAUAAGAUAAUUAUUAUUAUUAUUUAAUUGUCCAAACGCUUCUUGAUAAUAGACCUAGAGAUUUUCAACAGUGUUUUCUGAAUAGUAGUGGUUUUUGAUCGUACCUUUCUCAGCAGGCAAAUAAUCAAUCUCUUCAACUGUCUUUACAACGCUGCUGAACGCUCCUUUAUAUAGACUACAUGCGUUGAUGUCAUCAUGCAUUUACGCAUAAGAUUCCACAUGAGGUCAUAAAGGACAGUUAUAUUUUCUCGACAUGCGUUAGUCCAUGAAUCUCUUUUAGCGGUAAAGCAUGUGACUAUUUGUACAAUUUGUGAGUAUAUAAUUAUCAAAAUAGCCUACUAUAAUUGCGUGAACC